rfam:Tupaia chinensis contig122398, whole genome shotgun sequence.
UUUUUUUUAAACAGGAAAUAUCUUUUGCCAUUUAUCCAGCUGAAGAUUUCCUUGAAGAAAUAAUUUAAAGAUUGAGAAGAAAAA